rnacentral:ncRNA from 1 species
UCGGCGCUCAAUGUGUUUUCUUAUAUCGGUGGCGUCAAUGUUAGCCUCCCAUCCGACCCGUCUUGAAACACGGACCAAGGAGUUCAGUAGGCACGCGAGUCGUUGACGUUUUUCAUUGAACAGUCGAAGGCGAAAUGAAAGUGUUAAUGAAAAUGAACUGUACUUCUUUAUGGAGUGCUGUUCAAUUUUUCAACAUGAUCGUCCUUUUUUGUGCUUAAUUGUGCAAAAUAAUAGAUGUAUGGGGACGCGCAGUGUGGUGCCGUUGAAUAGUCGCACUGUUCUCUCUUUCUCUUCGGGGUUGGAGGAACAAUUGUCGAUCAGUCGGUUUCGGAGCGUGCACACUGGUACCCGAAAGAUGGUGAACUAUGCUUGAGCAGAAUGAAGCCAGAGGAAACUCUGGUGGAAGUUCGUAGCGGUGUUGACGUGCAAAUCACUCGUCUGACUUGAGUGUAGGGGCGAAAGACUAAUCGAACCAUCUAGUUGCUGGUUCCUUCCGAAGUUUCCCUCAGGAUAGCUGGCAUUUGUUUGUAACAAUUUUAUCCGGUAGAGCGAAUGAUUAGAGGUGUUGGGAACGCAAUGUUCUCAGCCUAUUCUCAAACUUCGAAUGGGUAAGCAAGGCGUUUUGCUUUGAUUUUACGAUGAAAUCGCCCAAUUAGAAUGUAUAAAUGCCU